rnacentral:rRNA from 1 species
AUUGAACGCUGGCGGCAGGCUUAACACAUGCAAGUCGAGCGGGGUGAUGGUGCUUGCACUAUCACUUAGCGGCGGACGGGUGAGUAAUGCUUAGGAAUCUGCCUAUUAGUGGGGGACAACAUCUCGAAAGGGAUGCUAAUACCGCAUACGUCCUACGGGAGAAAGCAGGGGAUCACUUGUGACCUUGCGCUAAUAGAUGAGCCUAAGUCGGAUUAGCUAGUUGGUGGGGUAAAGGCCUACCAAGGCGACGAUCUGUAGCGGGUCUGAGAGGAUGAUCCGCCACACUGGGACUGAGACACGGCCCAGACCCCUACGGGAGGCAGCAGUGGGGAAUAUUGGACAAUGGGGGGAACCCUGAUCCAGCCAUGCCGCGUGUGUGAAGAAGGCAUUAUGGUUGUAAAGCACUUUAAGCGAGGAGGAGGCUCUUUUGGUUAAUACCCAAGAUGAGUGGACGUUACUCACAGAAUAAGCACCGGCUAACUCUGUGCCAGCCGCCGCCGUAA